UAAUUUUGCUGAAUUAAAAAA
ensembl:piRNA 21ur-2837 ncRNA